rnacentral:misc_RNA from 1 species
UACGGAGGGUGCGAGCGUUAAUCGGAAUUACUGGGCGUAAAGCGCACGUAGGCGGAUUGGUAAGUUAGGUGUGAAAUCCCGGGGCUCAACUCCGGAACUGCCUUUAAUACUGCCAGUCUAGAGACCGAGAGAGGUAAGUGGAACUCCUAGUGUAGAGGUGGAAUUCGUUGAUAUUAGGAAGAACACCAGUGGCGAAGGCGGCUUACUGGCUCAGAACUGACGCUGAGGUGCGAAAGCGUGGGGAGCAAACAGG